rnacentral:rRNA from 1 species
UACGGAGGGUGCAAACGUUGCUCGGAAUCAUUGGGCGUAAAGCGCACGUAGGCGGUCCUUUAAGUCGGGUGUGAAAGCCCUCGGCUCAACCGAGGAAGUGCAUUCGAAAUUGGGGGACUUGAAUACUGGAGAGGAUGGCGGAAUUCCCGGUGUAGAGGUGAAAUUCGUAGAUAUCGGGAGGAACACCAGCGGCGAAGGCGGCCAUCUGGACAGAUAUUGACGCUGAGGUGCGAAAGCUAGGGGAGCAAACAGG